CACGUAGGGCGCAAGCGUUGUCCGGAAUUAUUGGGCGUAAAGAGCUCGUAGGUGGUUUGUUACGUCUGCUGUGAAAACCUAGGGCUUAACCCUGGGCUUGCAGUGGAUACGGGCAGACUAGAGGUAGGUAGGGGAGAAUGGAAUUCCUGGUGUAGCGGUGAAUGACGCAGAUAUCAGGAGGAACACCGGUGGCGAAGGCGGUUCUCUGGGCCUUACCUGACACUGGAGGAGCGAAAGCGUGGGGAGCGAACGG
rnacentral:rRNA from 1 species